rnacentral:rRNA from 1 species
CAGUCGCCACGGUAAUACGUAGGUGGCAAGCGUUGUCCGGAAUUAUUGGGCGUAAAGCGCGCGCAGGCGGUUUCUUAAGUCUGAUGUGAAAGCCCCCGGCUUAACCGGGGAGGGUCAUUGGAAACUGGGAGACUUAGAGUGCAGAAGAGGAGAGUGGAAUUCCAUGUGUAGCGGUGAAAUGCGUAGAUAUAUGGAGGAACACCAGUGGCGAAGGCGACUCUCUGGUCUGUAACUGACGCUGAGGCGCGAAAGCGUGGGGAGCAAACAGGAUUAGAUACCCCUGUAGUCCCUGUCUCUUAUU